rnacentral:misc_RNA from 1 species
ACGAUUUACGGUUCUACCGUUAUCUACCUUUGUCUAUGCGUACUACUUGUUUCCUCGGGGAGUCCGCUCCCCAGGACACUUUAUCAACCCUUUUGCAAUAGCAGUCAGCGUCUGAUAUAUAAGUUAAUAAUUA